AGCAUCUUGGACCUCAUGCCUGGGCCUGAAUU
rnacentral:piRNA from 1 species